rnacentral:rRNA from 1 species
CGUACACUCCUGCGGGAGGCAGCAGUGGGGAAUAUUGGACAAUGGGCGCAAGCCUGAUCCAGCCAUGCCGCGUGAGUGAUGAAGGCCCUAGGGUUGUAAAGCUCUUUCACCGGAGAAGAUAAUGACGGUAUCCGGAGAAGAAGCCCCGGCUAACUUCGUGCCAGCAGCCGCGGUAAUACGAAGGGGGCUAGCGUUGUUCGGAAUUACUGGGCGUAAAGCGCACGUAGGCGGAUCGAUCAGUCAGGGGUGAAAUCCCAGGGCUCAACCCUGGAACUGCCUUUGAUACUGUCGAUCUGGAGUAUGGAAGAGGUGAGUGGAAUUCCGAGUGUAGAGGUGAAAUUCGUAGAUAUUCGGAGGAACACCAGUGGCGAAGGCGGCUCACUGGUCCAUUACUGACGCUGAGGUGCGAAAGCGUGGGGAGCAAACAGGAUUAGAAACCCUAGUAGUCCCA